GUAGGUGGCAAGCGUUGUCCGGAAUUACUGGGUGUAAAGGGAGCGUAGGCGGGAAUGCAAGUUGAAUGUUUAAACUAUGGGCUCAACCCAUAAUCGCGUUCAAAACUGCAUUUCUUGAGUGGAGUAGAGGCAGGCGGAAUUCCUAGUGUAGCGGUGAAAUGCGUAGAUAUUAGGAGGAACACCAGUGGCGAAGGCGGCCUGCUGGGCUCUAACUGACGCUGAGGCUCGAAAGCGUGGGUAGC
rnacentral:rRNA from 1 species